rnacentral:rRNA from 1 species
GACGAACGCUGGCGGCGUGCCUAACACAUGCAAGUCGAACGAGGGUAGCAAUACCCGAGUGGCGGACGGGUGAGUAACGCGUAGGUAAUCUGCCCAUUGGUGGGGGAUAACAUUCCGAAAGGGGUGCUAAUACCGCAUAAGCAAGCGAGAGGGUGACUUCUUGUUUGGAAAGAUUCAUCGCCAAUGGAUGAGCCUGCGUCUGAUUAGCUAGUUGGUGGGGUAAUGGCCUACCAAGGCGACGAUCAGUAGCUGGUCUGAGAGGACGAUCAGCCACACUGGAACUGAGACACGGUCCAGACUCCUACGGGAGGCAGCAGUGGGGAAUUUUCUGCAAUGGGCGAAAGCCUGACAGAGCGACGCCGCGUGGGUGAUGAAGUCUUUCGGGAUGUAAAGCCCUUUCAGCAGGGAAGAAGACAGUGACGGUACCUGCAGAAGAAGCAUCGGCUAACUACGUGCCAGCCGCCGCCGUAAAAC